rnacentral:rRNA from 1 species
UACAGAGGGGGCAAGCGUUUGUUCGGAAUUAUUGGGCGAAAGAGCUCGUAGGUGGCUUGUCACGUCGGGUGUGAAAGCUUGGGGCUUAACUCCAGGUCUGCAUUCGAUACGGGCUGGCUAGAGGUAGGUAGGGGAGAACGGAAUUCCUGGUGUAGCGGUGAAAUGCGCAGAUAUCAGGAGGAACACCGGUGGCGAAGGCGGUUCUCUGGGCCUUACCUGACGCUGAGGAGCGAAAGCGUGGGGAGCGAACAGG